rnacentral:tRNA from 1 species
CAAGACGUAGCUUUAACGAAAGCAUUCAGCUUACACCUGAAAGAUAUCUAUUAAUACUAGAUCGUCUUGA